AUAAUCACUUUCUUGUAAGGACCCAGGCCGAGUAUACAGAAACAAAAGUCUACUGCAUAAUAAUGAGAGCAAUGUGCUACUUGGGAAGAAAAAAACCCUCUGCCAUAUGGAAAACUACCACAAAGGGUGCUUGGAACCUGAAUGCCAUUAAUUUGUGCAAAGUGCUUAGCAAUUCUUUGCAAAAAGGUGGUAAAGUGUAAAAUGUUAUUUUAAGCUAUACUGGGAAAUGCAGCAUAACCUGGCCCUUAUUGAAUAGAGCGCUGAAUGUCUGCGCCUUGCUGCAGUGACACUUGGCAGCACUGCACUUACUGCUUGGCAGUGCCUCUGCAGGCUCCAUAUUGCAGGGAGCGUUCUUCACCUUACUGGCUCUCUGAUCCAUGUGACUCGCAGUCUACUUCUACAGCCGUGGUAAUAAAGCAUUUAAUGCUAGUUCCUUGUGAUGCAACUGUAUUCUGCUUGAUGCAAGAAAAUCACAUUAUGUAGAUUAGGAGUCAAAUGGCUGUGUGUCUGCAGGUGUGUAUGUGCACACAGAUGCAUUCUGAUUCCUUUGAGGAUAUAUAUCUUUGCUUGGCACUGCUAGCUGCAGGAGAUGUGGAAGGGAUUGGCUAUGAUAGUGAUGAUUGUGUCCAGUGAGCUAGAAUCAGUUUAAGAGGUAGCAUGUUUGCUAAUGCCAAAGCUGCUCUCAUGUUUGUUUCACUUCAGCUGAGAAUGGUACUUUCCCUUUCUGUAUUUCAGGCUGAUGGAAAAUGUCCCUCCCAUAAAAUGACUCUUCAGUUUGUCUCCAGACCAGCUCAUGAGCAUUUUCCAUUUCUCUCUCCACAAACUUGAAUUUGUCUUUUGGCACUGGUAUUCAAUCGAGUUCUCAUAGCUAUAUUAGCUAUACCAGAACACCAAUUUAAUUAGGAUCCUUUCACGUGGUCUCUGUGACAAACACUGCAGCCAACAAUAUGCACAAUGAUGCCAGUGAGCAGUGAAGCUGGGCACUUGCUGGUGAAGUGGGCAGUUCCAGUGGACAGCAGUGGUCUCAGCAGGAAACAUGGAACAGUGGAUGUCAUUUUUCUGGACUUUAACAAGGCUUUUGACACAGUCUCCUGAAGUAUCCUCGGAGCUGAGCUUGAAAGAGAAAGACUGAACAGCAGGAUGGAAAGGUUGAUGGAAAAUUGGCUGGACCACCAGGUGCAAGGAAUAGCAUGCAGCAGGCCAAAGCUGAACUAGUGGCUAGUUACUAGUGGUGUCCCUCAAGGGCCACUGCUGGGUCUGAUGACCCUUCAGAAAACCUGAGCAAUUCAUUAAACCUGAGCAAUGGAAUGAGAUGGACUUCCAGCACAUUCACUGAUGACACAAAAUUGAGUUAACAGUCAGUACACUGGAGGGCCUCGCUCUGAAGAGGAACCUCUGCCCUUCACUGGCCUCGUUGCACUGACUAGGCUGUGCAAUCCCAUGGAGGUACUAAUCAUAGAAUCACAGAAUGGCUUCGGUUGGAAGGGACCUCAAAGAUAAUUUAGUUCCACCCCCUUCCACUGUGGCAGGGCUGUAAACCGCUAGAUCAGGCACCAGCCCAGGCUGCCUGGCGCCCCAUCCAACCUGCUCUUGAACACCUCUAGGGAUGGGGCACCCACUCUCUGGGCAGCAGUGCCAGCACCUCACCACUCUCUCAAAAAUUCCCGUUGACAUCUAAAAGUAAAGACAAUGAAGACAAUGAAGAGAUAUGACCUUCCUCAACAGAGCCAAAUUUGCAACGUAAGUUUCUCCAACAUCACUUCAACAUGGAGAAGUGUGUGAAAAAUUCCAAGCUGAUCUGAGUGAAGACCUCUCUGGAUUUGAGUCAAUGGGAUUGUACCAUUUAUGUUAAUGGCAACAAGAUUUCACAGUUCCCUUCAUUUAAAUGUGUAUGCAGAAUCCCAGAGAUAAUUCAGAAAUUUAAGGGCAAUGUUUAAUGCAGUAAUAAACUAGGUAAACAGGUUGACACAAAAACGCUCAUUGUUCCCAAGCUUUGCCAUUUUGUUUUGUUUUUGAAAGGCUUCUUGCGAACUGAAUUUCAUGGUAUUUCUGAUAGUGAACCAGGAAUUAAACUUUUUGAUGUAAAUUUAUAUAUGGAGAAGUGUACUGGGCAUUUUGCUUGGGAACUUCAGUGGCAGGGAAUCUAUUCUUCCAGUUGUGUGAUGUGCCCAAUGAAGUGUGCGUAGGAUAGACUUCCGAACUGUUCGCUACGCUUUCUUAAAACCUCCAAAAAUACUUCAACAUCUGAGUGUAUGGAAAAUAACUGAAUAAGAAAAAUUAAAUUUGGGUGAUGGCUACAUGAUACAAGAUUUUUCAGCAUUGCACUGCUAAUGUAACUGAUUGAGUACAAGAUGUGUUGCUUGCCAUUUCCCGGAAUAAAAAAAUGAGCUGUUGAGUCUUAA